GACGAACGCUGGCGGCGUGCUUAACACAUGCAAGUCGAACGGAAAGGCCCUGCUUGUGUGGGGUGCUCGAGUGGCGAACGGGUGAGAAACAUGUGAGUAUCCUGCGCUUGACUUUGGGAUAACUUCAGGAAACCGCGGCUAAUACCGGAUAGGAGCUCCUGCUGCAUGGUGGGGGUCGGAAAGUUUCGGCGGUUGGGGAUGGACUGGCGGCUUAUCAGCUGGUUGGGCGGGUAGUGGCUUACCAAGUCAUUGACGGCUAGGCGGCCUGGGUGGGUGAACGGGCACAUUGGGACUGAGAGAGGGCCCAGUCGGCUACGGGAGACAGAAGUGGGAAGUAUGACCCAACGGGCGGGAGUCUGAUACAGCGACGCCGCGUGCGGAAUGACGUCCUUGGGGGUAUGAACCGCAUUCGGCUAAGACGUAGCGUUAGUGACGGUAAUAGGUGAAGAAGCACCGGCUAACUACGUG
rnacentral:rRNA from 1 species